rnacentral:rRNA from 1 species
GAUGAACGCUAGCGGCAGGCCUAAUACAUGCAAGUCGAACGAGAUUAAGAGGCUUGCUUCUUAUGAAAGUGGCGCACGGGUGCGUAACGCGUAUGCAACCUACCUUAAUCAGGGGGAUAGCCCGAAGAAAUUCGGAUUAAGACCGCAUAAAAACACAGGAUAGCAUUAUCCAAUGUUCAAAUAUUUAUAGGAUUAAGAUGGGCAUGCGUGUCAUUAGCUAGUUGGCGGGGUAACGGCCCACCAAGGCGACGAUGACUAGGGGAUCUGAGAGGAUGACCCCCCACACUGGGACUGAGACACGUACCAGACUCCUACGGGAGGCAGCAGUAAGGAAUAUUGGUCAAUGGAGGGAACUCUGAACCAGCCAUGCCGCGUGCAGGAAGACAGCCCUCUGGGUCGUAAACUGCUUUUAGUCGGGAAUAAACCUUUCUACGUGUAGGAAGCUGAAGGUACCGAAUGAAUAAGGAUCGGCUAACUCCGUG